rnacentral:rRNA from 1 species
GAUGAACGCUGGCGGCGUGCUUAACACAUGCAAGUCGAACGAUGACCCGGUGCUUGCACCGGUGAUUAGUGGCGAACGGGUGAGUAACACGUGAGUAACCUGCCCUUAACUCUGGGAUAAGCCUGGGAAACCGGUCUAAUACCGGAGUAUGACCUCCUGCCGCAUGGUGGGGGUGAAAGCUUUUUGUGGUUUUGGAUGGACUCGCGGCCUAUCAGCUUG